rnacentral:lncRNA from 1 species
CAGGAGGCAUUUGCCAAGUAUGUUCUAGUGCCAGGCAUGAUGUGAUACAUAUCUCAUUAUCUCAUUAGUCUUCACCACCAUACUCUUUCUCGUCUAGAUCUUCAGGCAUGCAAAUCCCUAUGCCCAGCACAUUUCCGUGGACCCCUUCUGCUCCCUUGACAAUACUUGCUCCUUCCUACUCCACUCUUCACCUGGAUGGCCCUUCCCUUCAGGAUUCAGCUUGGGCCCAACUUCGCCUGGAUUAUCCUGCUCCUGUUUCCUCAGGAGCCAGCCGCCACAUUUUGAGGAAGAUAAAACUAAUGAUGACCUGAUCAUAUAUAGCAAACAGUAAACAAACAAACAAAAAUCAAAUUUUCAGGAAGAAUGCUUCAAGUAUGGAUUUACAUUCACUAUCGUUAAUGGCGAGCCCUGUCUAAGGUGUGGAUUAUGCCCUGAGAUAGUAGAAAAGAUAGUAAGAUGUCAUUAAGAAUAGCAGGCAUUUUAAAAUACUCUUUAUUUCAUGUUCAUGUCUCCUGUUAUACUUUCUAGUUUUAAUUUGUUAUUAUGAAGUGCAUAAUCUGUUGGCAUGGUUCUACACACAGGCACACACACGUACCAUAAAUCUAUUGAGGUGCACAUGCCAGUCUUUUUCAGCAUUAGGGUUACAUAUUUAGAGAAAUUUGAAGAUUGUUGAUUGAGGUCAUGGGAAACUGCUUUUGGAAGUUCUCGAGCAAUAGGAGAUAUGAUUGGAGCUGUGUUUGAGAGUGAUAAACUUCAUCACAACUCCCCCCACCCCACCCCCAGAAAAAGAAAAAAAAAAAAAAAGCAUUGCACAAGAAAUACAGAAAAGUGGAGUCUGGGAGAGAGCUGUUAAACAGCUUGACUCCUCCUUCUCCAAAAAUGUUGUUUUCCCUUCCUUCCUAAGGACCACUGACCUCCUCCAACCACCAACAAGAACUAUUGAGAUAUAUUCUACGAGCCAGGCCUUCUGUGGCUGCCUGCAUGGGAAGAAGACUGCCUAAAAAUAUUCCUUAACUAAUUUCCUCUCCUCUAGGUUUCUUGCUCUAUUACAAGCCAGUUCUAAGGAUCCUCAACUUUGACUUGCUAUUUGAGAUUAUUGGGUGUGUCUUGUGAUGUAGACAUUCCAAACUUACCUGUUUAAAGAAGGCAGACUUCCAGAAUAGCCAGAGAUAUGGGCUCUAGAGUCAGACAACCUGUCUUCAAAUCCCAGCUCUAUCAGGUAUUAUUAUGCUCACCUUGGGCUACUUUCUUUCUGCCACAGUUUCCUCAUCUGUAAAGUGAGAAUAAUCAUCCUAUCUGUGUGGCAGUGGGUAAGAAGUAAGAAAGAUAAUAAGUGUAUGUAAUCCCAGCACUUUGGGAGGCUGAGGUGGGCGGAUCACGAGGUCAGGAGAUCGAGACCAUCCUGGCUAACACGGUGAAACCCCGUCUCUACUAACAAUACAGAAAAUUAGCCAGGUGUGGUGGCGGGCGCCUGUAGUCCCAGCUACUCAGGAGGCUGAGGCAGGAGAAUGGCGUGAACUGGAAAGGCGGAGCUUGCAGUGAGCCGAGAUUGCACCACUGCACUCCAGUCUGGGCGACAGAGCGAGACUCUGUCUCAAACAAAACAAAACAAAAAAAGAUAAUGAGUGUAAAAGACAGAGUUAAUUCCUGGCAUAGAAAAAAAUUCCCAAGGAAUGUGAAUUCACAUCAUUACAAAGGAAUGAACUGAGACAUGGUCUGAAGGGCCUAGGGCAGAAACGGGUAAGGAGGCUUCCAGGAAUGCAGAUCCUUUAAUCUCUUUAAAGCAAUAUCCAAACAGAAGUCUAAGCCUCCACGGACGCUGGCAUGCUCAGGGAGGCCAGUGAAGGGGGCAGAGAUGGCUGCCUGUGAGUCACCCUCUCUCCUUGACUCAUCUGUCACCUCUGUUAUCUCUGGCUAUUGCUACAGUUUCUCCUGAGAAAUUAUGAAAUAAACGGCCUGCAUGGUAACGCCUGGGUGAAUAGGUGAAUCUCGGGCAUGUGGCCAACUCUCCAUUCACUUUAAGCAUCCUUGGGCUUAGUGAACUCUAGAUGAUCAAAUCUCUUUUAUCAAAAGAGAAAAUUAUAACAAAUUUAGUUUAAAGAUCUCAGUUGGCUUCAUUUGCAAUUCUAGAAUCCAGCAACACUACAUUCCGUAAAACGAAAUAAGUGUCCCAGUGAACGGAGCAGAAGAGAUUUGCUUUAUAGACAGAGAAGGGCCAAAGAAAGCAGGAGCAAAGAACAAAGACUGUAUUCGUUAUUUUUAGACAGAAC